rnacentral:pre_miRNA from 1 species
AGUAACUUAAAAUCGGACAACUACGACACUAAGGGCGCAAAAGUCGCCCUUAGUGUCGUAGUUGUCCUAAUUUCAAUCCU